GCCUCAGGAGAUAAAGACCAUGUUAUUUGCAAAGGCUUUUGCAACUGGCUUUGUCCUUAUGAAAGAUGGAUUUCCUGAUUCUUCAGGAUGGCUCAGUCCUGGGUGACCAAACAGGUCAUUCUGAUCCAGCUACAUUGGGAGUAAGGCUUUGAUUGAGAAGCUGAUAAGAAAAAAAAGGUGACUUCGGAAAUUUUUGGAGUUAUGUUGGGAAUAAUGGUUCUGAGUAUGGAGUUCCAAAUCUGAGUACAACUAGAAGAGGAUUCUCUCAGUAGUCUUCCUGUCAAGAGACAGAUUGCAGGGUGUUCAAUGGACAGAGGAGUGAUCUGCUUUGCAGCAUAUUGGAUUAAACUGGCUAGUGUUCUGGAAGAAGUCUUCUACUGCCUAAGGAGAACUUGAAAACUGACAACUUUAGAAGGCUUGGAGCUACAGGCCUAUCCGGAAGGGGAUGUGUGUAACCAAACACUUGAGAAGCUAAAAUCUAAUGCUAUGACA